GGGCUCGUGGUUUAGUGGUAUAAUACUCCCUUAGCAUCGUUAUCUCGAUUGGGAGUGGUCCGGGGUUCGAUUCCCCGCGAGUCCA
rnacentral:tRNA from 1 species